AAGAUGGAGUAACUUAAAUAUAUAUUCUAGCAAUAACCUAGCAUAUUUAACUAUAUGGCCUCAACUAAAUAAAGUUGGCAGAAAUAUAAGAAAAAAUAAUUAAAAUCAUAGCAUGAGACUUCAACACAUCUCUCAGUAUUUGAUAGGAAGAAUAGAUACAAUCAGGAAAAGAAUAGAAAAUUUUAAUGAAAUAGUUUAACAUAAUGGGAAUAUAUAGGACACUCUGCAAACAAUUUCAGCAUAUACAUACUUUUCAAGCACAUAAAAUAUUUACAACAUUUGGCUAUUCCCUGGGCCAUAAGGCAAAUUCCAACAAAUUUUAAAGAACUGAAGUUAUGCAGAGUGAGUUCUUUGAUGGCAACAUAAGUAGGUCAGAAAACAAAAAUUAAGAAUUAUCAAUUUAUUUGGAAAGUUAGGCCUUUCCAAAUGCAAAAUUAUAAAAUUCCUUGAAGAUGACAUAGGAGACAAUCUAGGUGACCUCGGGUUUGGUAAUGACUUUUUAUCUACAACAUAAAAAGUAUGGUCCAUGAAGAAAAAAAAUUGGUAAGUUGAACUUUUACAGUAAAAACCUCAGUUCUGUGAAAGACACUGUUAGAAUAAAAAGCCACAGACAGGAAAUAUUUGCAAAACAAAGGAUUGGCAAUCAAAAACAUACAGAAAACUUAAAACUCAACAGAAAAACAACCCAGUGUUCAAAUUCAGGGGUGGCGGGGGGGGAACUAGGCAACUCACCAAAGAUAACACAAUUAGUAAAUAAACAUAUGAAAAGAUAUCUAAGAUCAUACAUGAGGGAUGAAUUUAAAGGAGAUGCCACUAUAUUCAUUAGAAUAGCUGAAGUCUAAGACCCUGAAAAUACCAAAUACUGAUGAGGAUGUGGAGCAGCAGGAACUCUUACUCACUGCUGAUGGAAAUGCAAAAACAACUUGGGAAGACAGUUGGGCAGUUUCUUAGAGAAAUACACACCUACCAUAUGAUCCAACAAUUACACUCCUUGGUAUUUAUCCAAAUGAGUUGAAAAUAUGCCCACAGGAAAACCUGCACAUAAAUGUGUAUAGCAGCUUUACUCAUAAUUGUCAAAACUUGAAAGCAACUAAGAUGUCCUUCAAUAGAUGAAUGGAUAAACUGUUACAUCUAUACAAUGGGAUAUUAAUGAGCAAUAAAAAAAAGUUAUCAAGCCAUAAAAAGACAUGAAGUAACCUUAAAUGCACAUUGCCAGGUGAAAGAAGCCAAUCUGAAAAGCCUACACACUUUAUGACUCCAAAUAAAUGACAUUCUGGAAAGGCAAACCACAUAGAGUGGUUGCCUGGGACUCAGGGGUAGGGAGGGAAGAAUAGGUAGAGCACAGAGGAUUUUUUAGGGCAGUGAAAGUGUUCUCUGAUACGGUGAUAGUGGAUACAUAUACAUGUGUCAAAAUGUACAACACAAAGAGUGAACCCUAUGUAAACUACGGACUUUAAUAAUGAAGUAUCAAAAUUAGCUCAUUAAUUAUAACAAAUAUAAUCCAUAAUACAAGAUGUUAAUUUAAAAAAACUGGUGGGAGGGGGUAAAGGGGAUUAUGGGACCUCUGUACCUUUUGCUCAAUUUUUCUGUAAACCUAAAACUGCUCUAAAAAGUGAAGUAUUAAUUUUUAAAAAAGAAUUGCUGAAGAAAGUUUUUCAAAGUAAGGAAAUAACAGAAUGAAACUUGGAAGAUGAGGAAUGAAGAACAGAAUGGGUAAACAUUUGGGUAAAUAUAAUAGGCUAUCCUUGAGUUUUAAAAAUGUGAGAUGGCUGAAAGCAAAAUUAUAUUAUCUGACAUGGUUGUCAAUGUAUGUAAAGGAAUUAUUUAAGAAAAUAAAUUAUAAAGCAGUAAGCUAAAUACCUAAGUGGCUGUAAAGUUCUUACAUUUCACUAGAAGUGUCAAACUGUUGAUACUAGUCAACUGAUGUUAUAUAUGUAUACUGUAAUCCACUGAGCAACAAAAAAUGUAUACGAAGUGAUAUAUUUAAAAACACAAUAGACAAGGCAAAACAGAACAGUAAAAAAUAAGAAAAAAAUCAGGUACCCACAGGAAGGCAGGAAAAGGGAAACAGGAAAGAAAAAAAUAUAUAAAGAAAGCAAAAAUAGAACAGCAGACUUCACUCCUAACAUGAAUGAAUAUAUAAAAUUUGAGUGUCUAAAUUGUAAUUAGAAGACAGAUUCACAGAAACUUUAAAAAUUACCGGACCAUAUGCUAUCCAUUCAAAACACAUUUCAAAUACAAUAAAUAUAGGUAGGUUUAGAAUAAAUGAAGGGAAAAACAUGUCAAGCAAAUACCAAUCCAAAAAAAAAAAAAAA
rnacentral:lncRNA from 1 species